rnacentral:rRNA from 1 species
UUAACGUCUGGGCCGCACGCGCGCUACACUGACGGAGCCAGCGAGUAUAAACCUUGGCCGAGAGGUCUGGGAAAUCUUGUGAAACUCCGUCGUGCUGGGGAUAGAGCAUUGUAAUUAUUGCUCUUCAACGAGGAAUUCCUAGUAAGCGCAAGUCAUCAGCUUGCGUUGAUUACGUCCCUGCCCUUUGUACACACCGCCCGUCGCUACUACCGAUUGAAUGGCUUAGUGAGGCUUCCGGAUUGGUUUAGAGAAGGGGGCAACUCCAUCUUGGAACCGAGAAGCUAGUCAAACUUGGUCAUUUAGAGGAAGUAAAAGUCGUAACAAGGUUUCCGUAGGUGAACCUGCGGAAGGAUCAUUACAGAAUGAAAAGUGCUUAACUGCAUUUUUUCUUACACAUGUGUUUUUCUUUUUUUGAAAACUUUGCUUUGGUAGGCCUUCUAUAUGGGGCCUGCCAGAGAUUAAACUCAACCAAAUUUUAUUUAAUGUCAACCGAUUAUUUAAUAGUCAAAACUUUCAACAACGGAUCUCUUGGUUCUCGCAUCGAUGAAGAACGCAGCGAAAUGCGAUAAGUAAUAUGAAUUGCAGAUAUUCGUGAAUCAUCGAAUCUUUGAACGCACAUUGCGCCCUUUGGUAUUCCAAAGGGCAUGCCUGUUUGAGCGUCAUUUCUCCCUCAAACCCUCGGGUUUGGUGUUGAGCGAUACGCUGGGUUUGCUUGAAAGAAAGGCGGAGUAUAAACUAAUGGAUAGGUUUUUUCCACUCAUUGGUACAAACUCCAAAACUUCUUCCAAAUUCGACCUCAAAUCAGGUAGGACUACCCCGCUGAACUUAACAUAUCAAUAACGGAGGAAAAGAACCCACAGGGAUGCCUUAAUACCGCGAGUGAACCGGCCAAACUCAAAUUUGAAAUCUGGCCCUUUCAUGGCCCAAUUGUAAUUUGAAAAAGGAUCUUGGGUCUGGCCCUUGCCAUGUUUUUUGGAAAA